GUACUUACCUGGCAGGGGAGAUACCAUGAUCAUGAAGGUGGUUUUCCAGAAAGGGGGCUUAUCCAUUGCACUCCAAAUGUGCUGACCCCUACAAUUUCCCCAAAUGUGGUAACUCAACUGCUAAAAC
rnacentral:snRNA from 1 species